rnacentral:rRNA from 1 species
CGGCAACAGCUCAAAUUUGAAAUCUGGCUCUUUCAGAGUCCGAGUUGUAAUUUGCAGAGGGCGCUUUGGUGUUGGUAGCGGUCCAAGUUCUUUGGAACAGGACGUCACAGAGGGUGAGAAUCCCGUACGUGGUCGCUAACCCUCACCGUGUAAAGCCCCUUCGAC